rnacentral:rRNA from 1 species
UACGUAGGGCGCAAGCGUUAUCCGGAAUCAUUGGGCGUAAAGCGCGUGUAGGCGGCUCGAUAAGUCUGCUGUGAAAGUCCAGGGCUCAACCCUGGGAUGCCGGUGGAUACUGUCGGGCUAGAGUGCGGAAGAGGCGAGUGGAAUUCCCGGUGUAGCGGUGAAAUGCGCAGAUAUCGGGAGGAACACCAAUUGCGAAGGCAGCUCGCUGGGACGUAACUGACGCUGAGACGCGAAAGCGUGGGGAGCAAACAGG